UUUGCCUCAGAAUUCCUGUUAGUACGGGGAUGAUAAUUGAUUGGUUAUUUAAUUGUGCUAAAACAUUUGUGUCAGUAUCUGUUGAACGUUCAUGUUUAUCAAAACCAGGAUGUAUUUAUCAACUAUUACUUUAAUUUUUGUGUUGACAACAGUAAUUAGUACAUCUGCUCUAAUACCAAAGUCAGUAUAUAAUAAAACAAAAAAUAUAAUACCUGACUAUUAUAUUAAAGAGUUACGUCCGCCUACCGUAAUGGGUAAACCAAUAGAGGUGGAUUUCAGUAUGAGAGUCAUGGAUAUAAAUUCCAUUAAUGUUGAAGAUAUGGAUUUUCGUAUGGAUAUGUUCCUAAUACAAAAAUGGACUGACGCACGUAUUAAAAUUCCUGAGGAACUGUUCGAAUAUGGGGAUGAUUCAAUAACGUUGCCUUCACAAUUUUUUGAAAAUCUAUGGCAGCCCGACUUAUAUUUUCUUAAUUCGAAAGUUGUUGAAAUUGCAACCUUAACUCAUAAGUUUUCUUCUGUAACACUAUAUAGAAAUAAGACUAUACGUUACGCAGCAAGGAUGCAUGCUAUUGUAGCAUGUCAAAUGGAGUUUCAACAUUAUCCGAUGGACACGCAGAUGUGUCCCAUUAAUAUCGAAAGCUUUUCUUACAAUCAAGAGAAAAUGUUUUUGAAAUGGGGCGAAUUUGGAGUAACGGUCAGUCCGGAAUUAAAGCUGUUACAGUACAAUAUAUUACCAAUAGAACUGGAGGAAACUUUUGCUUAUACAGGAGAGAAAAAUGGGAAUUUCUCCAGACUUGUUGUAACUUUCAGAUUUGAAAGGCAAAUCGGUCAUCAUUUGAUACAAACUUUUGCACCUUCAACCUUGGUAGUAGCUUUGUCUUGGUUUAGCUUUUGGUUAGGAUUAGAUGCAAUUCCUGGAAGAAUGACACUUUUGGUAACAUGUCUUUUGACUUUGGUGACAAUGUUUACUGGAUUGAGAUCAGAUAUUCCAGCAGUUGCAUAUGUUAAGGCUUUGGAUCUUUGGAUGGCUUUAUGCAUGAUAUCCGUGUUUGCAGCUCUUGGAGAGUUUAUUAUUGUUAAAGUAUUGGAUGGAAAAUAUCAAGCUAGAAAAAAUAAAGAGAGGAACAUGGCAAUGGUAAGAAAAUGCUAUAACACCUUGGACAGGAAAUAAAAAGCACUCUAUUCAAAUUUCCGAAGAAAAUUUUGUGAAGCUACAUUGGAAAUCAAGCAAUGGAAAAGAAAAGGUUUUGUGGAAGGAAAUUGACCGAUUCUCAAGAAUGAUAUUUCCAGGACUAUUUUUCUUGAUUAGUAUAUUAUAUUGGACUAUUUUAAUAUUCAGUAGAUCACCAAUUAUGUAUUGAAUAAAAUUGUACUUACUAUGUU